GGCGGACGGGUGAGUAAUGCCUAGGAAUCUGCCUGGUAGUGGGGGACAACGUUUCGAAAGGAACGCUAAUACCGCAUACGUCCUACGGGAGAAAGCAGGGGACCUUCGGGCCUUGCGCUAUCAGAUGAGCCUAGGUCGGAUUAGCUAGUUGGUGGGGUAAAGGCCUACCAAGGCGACGAUCCGUAACUGGUCUGAGAGGAUGAUCAGUCACACUGGAACUGAGACACGGUCCAGACUCCUACGGGAGGCAGCAGUGGGGAAUAUUGGACAAUGGGCGAAAGCCUGAUCCAGCCAUGCCGCGUGUGUGAAGAAGGUCUUCGGAUUGUAAAGCACUUUAAGUUGGGAGGAAGGGCAGUAAGUUAAUACCUUGCUGUUUUGACGUUACCAACAGAAUAAGCACCGGCUAACUUCGUGCCAGCAGCCGCGGUAAUACGAAGGGUGCAAGCGUUAAUCGGAAUUACUGGGCGUAAAGCGCGCGUAGGUGGUUUGGUAAGAUGGAUGUGAAAUCCCCGGGCUCAACCUGGGAACUGCAUCCAUAACUGCCUGACUAGAGUACGGUAG
rnacentral:rRNA from 1 species